CCCUUAGAUGUUCUGGGCCGCACGCGCGCUACACUGACGAUGUCAGAGAGUGUCUCCUUCACCGAGAGGUGUGGGUAAUCUUUUAAACAUCGUCGUGCUGGGGAUAGAUCAUUGCAAUUUUUGAUCUUAAACGAGGAAUUCCUAGUAAGCGCGAGUCAUCAGCUCGCGCUGAUUACGUCCCUGCCCUUUGUACACACCGCCCGUCGCUACUCCCGAUUGAAUGGUUUAGUGAGGCCUUCUGACUGGCGCCGCUACUCUGGCAACAGAGCGGCGGAUGCCGGGAAGUUGGUCAAACUUGAUCAUUUAGAGGAAGUAAAAGUCGUAACA
rnacentral:rRNA from 1 species